rnacentral:rRNA from 1 species
AGAAUCAACGCUGGCGGCGUGCCUAACACAUGCAAGUCGAACGAGAAAGUGGAGCAAUCCAUGAGUACAGUGGCGUACGGGUGAGUAACACGUGACUAACCUACCCUCGAGUGGGGAAUAACCUCGGGAAACCGGGGCUAAUACCGCAUAACAUCUUCGGAUCAAAUGCGUAAGCAGCUUGAGGAGGGGGUCGCGGCCGAUUAGCUAGUUGGCGGGGUAAUGGCCCACCAAGGCAAUGAUCGGUAGCCGGCCUGAGAGGGCGCACGGCCACACUGGAACUGAAACACGGUCCAGACUCCUACGGGAGGCAGCAGUGGGGAAUUUUGCGCAAUGGGGGAAACCCUGACGCAGCAACGCCGCGUGGAGGAUGAAGCCCCUUGGGGUGUAAACUCCUUUCGAUCGGGACGAUUAUGACGGUACCGGAUGAAGAAGCACCGGCUAACUCUGCGCCAGCAGCCGC